rnacentral:lncRNA from 1 species
AUCAGCUUCCCCGGUUCUGAGGCCUUUGGACUUGGACUGAGCCACGCAUCCAUAGAUCUAUCUAUCUCCUAUUGGUUCUUUCUGUGGAGAGCCUUGACUAAUACAGGGGUGAAAAAGAGGGCCUGAAUUUAGACGCGUACCAAUAGGAUGUUGGAGUAGCAGUGAUCACUGGAAAUAUGGGUCAGGAGCUCAGGAGGAUGAUCAGGGCUGAGCACAUAGUAUUUGGAGCUGUCAGAAGACGGAUGUGCGGCUUACAAAGGGACAGUAUGAAGGGUGGGACCAGAGAAGAUGACCAAGGGUGGAACGCAGAGAAACCCCAGUGUUUAGGGAAUGGACAGAAUCAGAGAAACCUGCAAAGGUUACUGAGAAAGAGAUAGGGGAAGGGGGAAUGAGUAAAGGAAGAAGAGAGAAAGAGAGGGGAGGGAACUCUGAAGCUAUUUUCUGGGCAAAAGAAGUGAGCAACAAUGAUCCAUGAAGAACUAGUGCACUGUGGUGGAUGGGGAGGCAAGAUGCCGGGAUGAGGAAGUGAACAGUUGCAUGGGAACUCAUGGAGCACUUACCACCCGCCAGGCACUCC